rnacentral:lncRNA from 1 species
AGGAGAAGGAGGCCGAGAGAGGAAAGCAACCUGACCCGUGACCUCUCCCUUCUCACGGUCUCAUUCCGGACUCCAGUAGAUGAGCACCAUCGUCCCCGCACGCGACGCCCCGUCGCAGGCCGCCACCCCUCCCGGGAAAGGCGAUUGUUUCACCACGCCCCCUGGUUACCGGAAGCGGGUGCAGCCGGCGAGGUAGGAUCUAGCCUGGCCGGCCCCUGUGUGGGCGGGCCGCCGACUUCCGGAAUGCAGGGUCCUGCGGCGGAAAUGGCUGCGCGGCUGGCGGCCGGCCGGGCGGGCGGGGCGAGGUGGAACGGAACAGACCGAGGCCAAACUGGAGUUGUUCGGUGAUAUUGGGGAGUCCAUGCUUGACAGUUUCAGUGUUUUUGCCAAGAUCCAGUCGAGGCAGGGAACUCUUCACCUCAGCUCAAGUCCCUGGACUUGGAAACAGCAUGCAGGAGCACUUGAACUUGAACCCUCAGCUCUGUGCUUUCUGACGGUAAGGUAAGUAAGUUUUACAACGAUCAGAACUCUUUUCGCAGGAGCUCCCAAU